rnacentral:rRNA from 1 species
GGUCUGUAGCAAUACAGAUGCUGGCGACCGGCAAACGGGUGCGGAACACGUACACAACCUUCCUUUAAGUGGGGGAUAGCCCGGCGAAAGCCGGAUUAAUACCCCGUAACAUAUUGAAUAGGCAUCUAUUUAAUAUUAAAGCUCCGGCGCUUAAUGAUGGGUGUGCGCCUGAUUAGGUAGUUGGCGGGGUAACGGCCCACCAAGCCUACGAUCAGUAACAGGUGUGAGAGCACGACCAGUCACACGGGCACUGAGACACGGGCCCGACUCCUACGGGAGGCAGCAGUAAGGAAUAUUGGUCAAUGGACGCAAGUCUGAACCAGCCAUGCCGCGUGGAGGAUGAAGGUCCUCUGGAUUGUAAACUUCUUUUAUCUGGGACGAAAAAGGGUCUUUCUAGAUCAACUGACGGUACCAGAUGAAUAAGCACCGGCUAACUCCGUGCCAGCAGCCGCGGUAAUACGGAGGGUGCAAGCGUUAUCCGGAUUCACUGGGUUUAAAGGGUGCGUAGGUGGGUCUGUAAGUCAGUGGUGAAAUCUCCGAGCUUAACUUGGAAACUGCCAUUGAUACUAUAGAUCUUGAAUAUUGUGGAGGUCAGCGGAAUAUGUCAUGUAGCGGUGAAAUGCUUAGAUAUGACAUAGAACACCAAUUGCGAAGGCAGCUGGCUACACAUAUAUUGACACUGAGGCACGAAAGCGUGGGGAUCAAACAGGAUUAGAUACCCUGGUAGUCCACGCCCUAAACUAUGGAUACUCGACAUUUGCGAUACACUGCAAGUGUCUGAGCGAAAGCAUUAAGUAUCCCACCUGGGGAAGUACGAUCGCAAGAUUGAAACUCAAAGGAAUUGGCGGGGGU